ACCGAAAGCAUAUAUACGAAAAUGAAGGACCCGCGCGAAAUCGCCUUUUCAUACAAACGUAGUCCUCAUUUUCCUCUAUGGAUAUUAACAUUAUUGAAAAUAUUGUGACACAAUUUGUUGUAGGUAUAUCAACAUUUAUUAUCAACCAUACCUAUAGCUAUGCCUGCCCCUACGUUUGAUUUUGUCGAAUUUUUAAUUGUUAUACUUAUGUAAGAAUUAGGAGUAGGUAUUAAAAAUAUUUUCAUCUCAGCAGCUCGAACAAGGGUACUUUGCUUCUUAAAAACAAUGAGCAAAAUGCGAUUUUGCUCACUGAGUGAGACAAAAUGACAUUCAAGUGACCUUUAUAGUCAAAUGUCAUUUCAACAUGAGGGGUCUAAUACAUGUUCGAAAUACUUGGGUUUUAUUAUCUCUGUCCCUUUCACCCUGUUAGCAAAAAGAAACAGACAAGAAAAAGUUAAAACGACAUUCAACGGUAUAUUGAGGGUUUAUAAUAGACCCCCGAAAACUUCAGACCGCAUCGUUCCAAACCACGUACGAGUAUGAAUUCUUAAUAAUUAAUUAAUAAAAAUAAAGUUUAAGAUUUGAUAAAAACUGAUAAAAUACUAUAUUUUAGGUAUUUUAUUGUACAAUUAAAAUAAUGAACUCAAAAAAUACACAGAUUAUCACGCAAAAUUAAUUAUUUUACUUUUAAGAAUUUCUACCAUAGUUGACAAAUAGUACGUAUCCGCAAUUCGGACCCAUAGAGGUACAAUAAUAUAGAGAUGAAACGGGGGAGGGGCCAAAAGACCGAACGAGAUGCACUUAUGGAAUUUUCAGUAGGAGUAGCAGAGAAGGCGGUAUUAUUGCUUGUCCUUGUCACAGUCUCACUUUUUGUUUGUUCCUCACCUUUUUAUUAGUAUGGAGAAUGGUAGGCAACAAAUGAAUUCGACCAAUCAGUGUCGCAUUUGCGUAUGUUUUGUCCCUCACGGAGGCACGCGUAUACCACUUCUAUACGAUCCUACCUUCUAUGUUCGGACCGUAUCCUACAAUGUAUUUUUUUUACAAAAAAAAACUUGUCGAUUGAAGUGUCAGUUGAUGUUCGUUAUUUCCAUAUUAUUUUACUAAAAAUGUAUGUAAUGUACCUUUUGUUUUUGUGUUCGAUUGCGGUAAUUAAACUUAAUUGUUUGUAAGUAUAUCUUAAGAAAACAUGAGUGCAGGCGGCGUAGCACGGUUGCGUUUUUAUCGCUUGUCACCAUGCCUGUCACGUUCUAACAAGUAAGUAAGUGCGAAAGGGACGCGCAUAGUGACAGGCGAUAAAAAUGGAACCGUGCUGCGCCCGCAGGUAUUAAGUGAUGAAGAAGGAUUACAUUUUUCAAGUUGUCUAAUAGGUAUGUUCUCACUGCUCAGGUGAAAAAUUUUGUGUACUACACGAGAUCAAAGCUAUUUACAUCUCGUGCGCUUUUGAAGUCCCUUACUACGCUCAAGAUUCUAAAUUAGAUUCACUCGCUAUGCUCGUGAAUCUAUUAUAGAAUCUUUCGCUUGCACGGGACUCAAAAUAAGCACUCGAAGAAAUAGCAAACUUUGAUCUCUUGUUGUACCAAUAACUAUUUCCAUAAUGUCAAUAUCCAGAGAGGAAAAUGGGGACUACGUUUGUAUGGAGAAACGGCCGUCCUCUUUCCUCUUAAGUGGUUCCAAUUCCCA